rnacentral:rRNA from 1 species
UACGAAGGGGGCUAGCGUUGCUCGGAUUCACUGGGCGUAAAGGGUGCGUAGGCGGUCGGGUAAGUCUGAUGUGAAAUCUCACAGCUUAACUGUGAAACUGCAUUGGAUACUAUUCGGCUUGAGAGUUGGAGGGGGGACUGGAAUUCUUGGUGUAGCAGUGAAAUGCGUAGAUAUCAAGAGGAACACCAGUGGCGAAGGCGAGUCCCUGGACAACUUCUGACGCUGAGGCACGAAAGCUAGGGGAGCAAACGGG